AAGUAUCAACAAGUACAAAGCCUCUAAAUUGAAAUAGUAAUUUUCUAUUAAGUGUAUAUUAGGACAGACCCCACAACAUCCGAACAUCAAACUAGUAAGGUAAAUGAAAUUUAUGUCCUCGGAAAUGCAAGGAGGCUCACCACUGACUUUGGAGUUGUCUCUGGAUCAUCGAAGUGUCGCGUGCUAAUCCUGGUUACUCGUGUCUGCAUCAUAAAAUGAUGCAGCCAACUGGCAUCAAACAUUGAAUGUACGAGUAUGCGAGUUGGAAUGCUAAGUACAACUAUAAAGCUUGAAAUGAAGUAAGGAUGAACAUACCUAUUCGCUGCUUGACUCAUAAAAGAUAUAGAAAUAAUAAACUCAACUUUACUUAUAUAUUAAAGUGAUAUAGUUUUCUGUGGGUGGUUCUCUAACCGACAACAACCACUGUGAGCCUUAGUGGUGAUACAUCGUCUUGCCCAUGCUACCAGAACUGUCAUAUACUUUGUCGUCGGAUAGGACAUCCUCUACCUAGUGGAUCAACUGUCUAACCUUACGUGGUCAUCUAAAAAGUAUGACACUUUAAUAUCCAUGAUGGUAACAUGGUUUACAUAGGGACUUGAGUUAUCUGAACUCUCAUCCCCAUAUUGGUGCUUAAUACUACUCCCAAUACUUACUUUAGCCCAUUGUUUUUAAUAAAAUUUCCUUCCUUUUGGUUGAGAUAAUUUACUGAACCCUUUAGAUUAAAAAAAGGUUCUUUUUUGGAAUCAAUGUUCCCCUCUUUAGUUCAAAACUCUUUUAUAACUCCUUUGUUUCCUUUAAACUUAAAUUUAAAACAUUUAUUAAUCUUUAGGGAAUACUUAAUUCCCUUUUAUGACUAUGGAGAAUUGAACUCAACAUUUACUCUUUUCCUUAACUCAAACGUGAUCCUUAAAACGAAUUUAAAAAGUUUUAGUAAGACUCCAAGAACUUUGAAAACUUUACUUUUACUCAGUUCAUAACUUUAGAGUUGACUUCUUACGUUUAAACAUGACUCAUAACUUUUUGACUUGACUCUUAACUUUUCUUGAAUUAAAUUAUGAAUUCAAGAAUUCAAUUUGAGUUCUUGGAUGAUUUUUAGGUAUUUAGAAAUCAUUUGAAUCAAUUUGACAUCAUUGGAGGAUGUUGAUGUAACUUUAAAGGACUUAAAAAUGUUAAACUACGAAAACUUGACAAAACACGCCGGUCGGGCGAACUGCUGGCGCGCCACACCAGCCUUAGUUGACUGAGGUUUGGUUCUGGCGCAUUGCUGACGUGCCGCGCCAGGCCUGGUUAACUGAGGCAUAUUUCUGGCGUACUGCAGGCGCGCUACGCCUGCCCUUACCCAGGUGUGUCUAACGAAUUUUUUCAACUCGUUUUUCCCUUUUCGACUCUCCAUAACUUCCUAGUUCUUUCAGUAUACAUUGGGAACCCUUAGUACCAUCAAGAUCUGCAUAAUUUUUUCUCAAAUAACUCCAUAGAAACAAGAAUCACACCAACAAUGGCAGCCAACAAUCUAAUCAAUAAAAAAACCAAACUUUCCUAAAGAUUCCAACCUCUAACAUGAUAAAAAUCCAUAAAUUAGAUGAAUUCAAUGAACUGGUGGGUGAAGUAACCCAACACAAAAGAAUCCACAUACCUUGUUAGGGAUCACCCCCGACGAAAUCCACGAAGAUAAAACUUGGCAUUUUUACGUUUUCUUCUUCCUUUUCAUCUUUUCUCCUUUCUUUCAAAACCCUAGUCUAUUU
rnacentral:lncRNA from 1 species